rnacentral:rRNA from 1 species
UACGUAGGGGGCAAGCGUUGUCCGGAAUCAUUGGGCGUAAAGCGCGUGUAGGCGGUUCGGUAAGUCUGCUGUGAAAGUCCAGGGCUCAACCCUGGGAUGCCGGUGGAUACUGUCGGACUAGAGUACGGAAGAGGCGAGUGGAAUUCCCGGUGUAGCGGUGAAAUGCGCAGAUAUCAGGAAGAACACCAAUGGCGAAGGCAGCUCUCUGGGACGGUACUGACGCUGAGACGCGAAAGCGUGGGGAGCGAACAGG